ACAAAUGAGAGUUUGAUCCUGGCUCAGAACGAACGCUGGCGGCGUGCCUAACACAUGCAAGUCGAAC
rnacentral:ncRNA from 1 species